rnacentral:lncRNA from 1 species
UCCCUCUGGAAAAUCAUCUGGAAUUUUUCCUUCCACUGUAGUAACUAGGACAGCUUCUCCAUUCUCUUCUACUGGUGCAAAAUUACUCUAUCAAAAUUAAUUACAUUAGUGAACAGAAACAAAUAGCUAAUUUUCAAGAACCAACAACAACAUGCGCAGUUUAAUUCCACAAGUGGGGUCUAAAGAGGGUAGUGUCCACGCAGCCUUACCCCUCUACUUUGUGAAGGUAUAAAGACCGUUUCUGAUAGACGCUUGUUUUUUCAAGAACCGAGUCUGAUAAUUAAUUAAUGGACAAACCUGAGAAGGGAGUAAUGGCUGAUCAACAAAUUCAAAUACUAAGUCCACAAAGGCAUCUAAUAAUUUGAAAGAAGUCUCCUUGAUAGCUUUUGGAAUGUCCGCAGCAACAAUUGGAAAAUGCACCAAGUCCCUUGAUAUAGGCUGUUUCAUUAAUUCAAAACCAAGCAAUAAGAUUUUCUUUUGAAGAAUGACAUAUAGUAAAAAAUUUGCACAAGGACUAGAGGGAAGUUUACGUUCAAAGCAGGUGAGAUUGAGACUUUCAAGUCCUCAACUUUACUUGGAAUAGAAGGCCUUUGAUAAGAGCAAUUUACUUGAAAUGUGUAACUACAAAAAGCCAUAUUCCUCCCCCUCUCUAUCACUGCCUCUUAGCUAUACUGUUAAAAAAUAAUUAACUUGCCGUCUAACUUUUUGGCAUAA